CUACGUUUGUGCCGUGAGGUUGUGUGCUGAGCAGAGCAGCGCCGCCGUCUGUGACGCCCAGGCACGCCUACACGUACUCACGCCUUGCCCUCUACUGCUGCUCCGCGCGCGCUGUCCUAGCACCGACACUGACAAGAACAGCUGCUGCCGGUUGCUGUGGAGAAACUCUUCGCUCUAAAGGGACCGCCGAACAUCUCUAUCUCGGAACCCUCAGGCCAUUUCGGACCCGUUUUCGACGUUCAACCGAUAUACGAUGGCUUUACAUCAGUAAGGAGUCACUGACCAGCUCUACACUGUCGGCGAACAUGGAUAACCCGGGGUUCCAGAACGACGAGUGCGGCGCGAUGCCGCGGCUGGCGCGCUCUCCCAGCCUGUCGCCAAGCGAGUGCCGGGUGCACGCGCCCGCCCCCGCCGCCCCAGCC